AACGAACGCUGGCGGCAUGCCUAACACAUGCAAGUCGAACGAAGGCUUCGGCCUUAGUGGCGCACGGGUGCGUAACGCGUGGGAAUCUGCCCUUUGGUUCGGAAUAACAGCUGGAAACGGCUGCUAAUACCGGAUGAUGACGAAAGUCCAAAGAUUUAUCGCCAGAGGAUGGGCCCGCGUUUGAUUAGGUAGUUGGUGGGGUAAAGGCCUACCAAGCCGACAAUCCAUAGCUGGUCUGAGAGGAUGAUCAGCCACACUGGGACUGAGACACGGCCCAGACUCCGACGGGAGGGAGCAGAGGGGAAUAUAGGAAAAUGGGCGAAAGGCUGAACCAGCAAUGACGGGUGAGUGAUGAAGGAAGUAGGGUAGUAAAGCUCUUUUACACGGGAAGAUAAUGACGGUACCGGGAGAAUAAGCCCCGGCUAACUCCGUG
rnacentral:rRNA from 1 species